UCCGUAGGUGGCAAGCGUUAUCCGGAAUUAUUGGGCGUAAAGCGCGCGCAGGCGGUUUCUUAAGUCUGAUGUGAAAGCCCACGGCUCAACCGUGGAGGGUCAUUGGAAACUGGGAAACUUGAGUGCAGAAGAGAAGAGUGGAAUUCCACGUGUAGCGGUGAAAUGCGUAGAGAUGUGGAGGAACACCAGUGGCGAAGGCGACUCUUUGGUCUGUAACUGACGCUGAGGCGCGAAAGCGUGGGGAGCAAACGGG
rnacentral:rRNA from 1 species